rnacentral:rRNA from 1 species
UACAGAGGGUGCGAGCGUUAAUCGGAAUUACUGGGCGUAAAGCGUGCGUAGACGGUUAUCUAAGUCGGAUGUGAAAGCCCCGGGCUCAACCUGGGAAUUGCAUUCGAGACUGAAUAGCUAGGGUACGGUAGAGGGAAGUGGAAUUUCCGGUGUAGCGGUGAAAUGCGUAGAUAUCGGAAGGAACAUCAGUGGCGAAAGCGGCUCACUGGACCGUAGUUGACGCUGAGGUGCGAAAGCGUGGGGAGCAAACAGG